ACCAAGACGAGAAAGACCCUGUGGAGCUUUAAUUAACUAACUCAUAUUACUCUGAGCAAAUCUCCCUCCAGAGAACAAACCUGUUUUAACUGAGUUAAUAAUUUAGGUUGGGGUGACCUCGGAAUAAAACCUAACCUCCGAGAAAAACUUAUAAUGACCUACAAGUCAAAAUUAUAUAAUUACACACUGAUCCGUCAAAGACGAUCAACGAAACAAGUUACCCUAGGGAUAACAGCGCAAUCCUAUUUAAGAGUCCAUAUCGAAAAUUAGGGUUUACGACCUCGAUGUUGGAUCAGGACAUCCCAAUGGUGCAGCAGCUAUUAAUGUGUCG
rnacentral:rRNA from 1 species